UGUAUUGGUCCCAGAUUUGAUCAUUACAGAGUUUGUAAGAGUUGUAAACCUCAUUUCACAUUUGAUUUAUUAUCUCGUUUACAAAUAUAGCUCCAACAGAUUACACGAGUUGAUUUGUUGCAACAUAUUUCGACAAAAUAAAUUUAAAAGAUGCCUUGCUGUAUUGAGAGAGGAACAGAUAAAUGCUAUGCAAUCAUUGAAUUUUCAGAUGAUGGUAUUUAACUUGUACCGAAACUUUGGUUAUUUGAUGAUGCCUGUGGCCUAACUAUGUGAAUCAACUAAACAUGAACAAUAGCUGCUUACAGGACAUAGAAAGGAGAGGACCAGUAGCAGCAUCUCAAAAGAAAGCAGUAAUUCAAAUAUGGGGAAAUUGGAG